AACGCUGGCGGCGUGCCUAACACAUGCAAGUCGAGCGAUUCUCUUCGGAGAAGAGCGGCGGACGGGUGAGUAACGCGUGGGUAACCUGCCCUGUACACACGGAUAACAUACCGAAAGGUAUGCUAAUACGAGAUAAUAUGCUUUUAUCGCAUGGUAGAAGUAUCAAAGUUUUUGCGGUACAGGAUGGACCCGCGUCUGAUUAGCUAGUUGGUAAGGUAACGGCUUACCAAGGCGACGAUCAGUAGCCGACCUGAGAGGGUGAUCGGCCACAUUGGAACUGAGACACGGUCCAAACUCCUACGGGAGGCAGCAGUGGGGAAUAUUGCACAAUGGGCGAAAGCCUGAUGCAGCAACGCCGCGUGAGCGAUGAAGGCCUUCGGGUCGUAAAGCUCUGUCCUCAAGGAAGAUAAUGACGGUACUUGAGGAGGAAGCCCCGGCUAACUACGUGCCAGCAGCCGCGGUAAUACGUAGGGGGCUAGCGUUAUCCGGAAUUACUGGGCGUAAAGGGUGCGUAGGUGGUUUCUUAAGUCAGAGGUGAAAGGCUACGGCUCAACCGUAGUAAGCCUUUGAAACUGGGAAACUUGAGUGCAGGAGAGGAGAGUGGAAUUCCUAGUGUAGCGGUGAAAUGCGUAGAUAUUAAGAGGAACACCAGUUGCGAAGGCGGCUCUCUGGACUGUAACUGACACUGAGGCACGAAAGCGUGGGGAGCAAACAGGAUUAGAUACCCUGGUAGUCCACGCCGUAAACGAUGAGUACUAGCUGUCGGAGGUUACCCCCUUCGGUGGCGCAGCUAACGCAUUAAGUACUCCGCCUGGGAAGUACGCUCGCAAGAGUGAAACUCAAAGGAAUUGACG
rnacentral:rRNA from 1 species